CGGAGGGGGGCUAGCGUUGUUCGGAAUUAACUGGGCGUAAAAGCGCACGUAGGCGGACCGGAAAGUUGGGGGUGAAAUCCCGGGGGCUCAACCUCGGAACUGCCUUCAAAACUACUGGUCUUGAGUUCGAGAGAGGUGAGUGGAAUUCCGAGUGUAGAGGUGAAAUUCGUAGAUAUUCGGAGGAACACCAGUGGCGAAGGCGGCUCACUGGGCUCGAUACUGACGCUGAGGUGCGAAAGCGUGGGGAGCAAACAGGAUU
rnacentral:rRNA from 1 species